rnacentral:lncRNA from 1 species
GAAAGGUGAUGUGCAUGCAUCGGGAUAUGCACAGCCACCUCCUUCAAAAUUGCGAAAGGGCCGGGUGCGGUGGCCCACGCCUGUAAUCCCAGCACUUUGAGAGGCCAAGGCAGGCUGAUCACUUUAGGUCAGGAGUUCGAGACCAGCCUGGCCAACAUGACGAAACUACGUCUCUACUAAAAAUACAAAAAUUACCGGGGCGUGAUGGUAGGUCCCUGUAAUCCCAGCUACUCAGGAGGCUGAGGCAGCAG